UACAGAGGGUGCGAGCGUUGUUCGGAAUUACUGGGCGUAAAGCGCGCGCAGGCGGCUCUUUAAGUCUACCCGUGAAAUGCCGGAGCUCAACUCCGUGCACGCCGGGGGAUACUGGAGAGCUGGAGACGAGUAGAGGCAAGCGGAAUUCCGGGUGUAGCGGUGGAAUGCGUAGAGAUCCGGAAGAACACCGGAGGCGAAGGCGGCUUGCUGGGCUUGGUCUGACGCUGAGGCGCGAAAGCGUGGGGAGCGAACAGG
rnacentral:rRNA from 1 species